GUCGUGGUUAAUGAUGCACACUUUUUUUCCCCGUCUUAUCGACAAUGGUGAAAGAGAAUGAAAACUUAAGCCAGUUGUGUCUGAAACCACGUC